rfam:Hordeum vulgare subsp. vulgare, WGS project CAJW01000000 data, contig: morex_contig_40779
CAAGUACUCCCUCCGUCUGGAAUUACUUAUCGUGGAAAUGGAUAUAUCUGGACGUAUUUUAGUUCUAUAUACACCCAUGUCUAUCCGUUUCUGCGGCAAGUAAUUCCGGAUGGAGGGAGUAGUUG